rnacentral:sRNA from 1 species
ACGUGUUACUCCCUGCCUGGAACGAAGGGUGUUGGACAAGGUGGACAUUGGAGAAGACGCAGAAAAUACUAUUCUGUAGGCACAGGCAGAAGUAUAGGAAAGGAAAUAGGUAUUGGACUGUGGGCAGUACAUGUAUUAAAAAAGAUUGAAAGUUGAUUGGUAAUGUAGUUCAGAUAAUGAUGCAGCUAUUGGUAAGUAUUGGUAAUUGGAUUUAUGAAUCUUUGGCAAUCAGAGAACGGGCAGUGGUGAUGAAAAUCUUUUCUCCAUUCGCGGUUUCCACCAGAGGUACUCCGAUGAUGGACUAAUCCUUCCUUGGAUGUCUGAACUGCCUUUUAGACAAUAUGUUAUCUUUUUGAAUAUGAAAUUGUAAGCUUAUUAUGUUAAUUUUAGAGUAAAAUCAUUAACUUGUUACAUUUUCAUAAACAUGAACUUGAAUGUCAUUAAUAAUCGACCUAACAGAUUUACUAUCGAGGAAAAAGAUGAUGAUUUUUCAGUUAACCCUGUCUAUCAAAGUUAAAAGUAACAGGUUACUUCGGCUUGUGUUUUUUCUUAGUUAAAUAAACUUCUAUAUAAUUGUAAUAUUUAAAGUAGUUAAUUUCCUGUUUUUAAGUUUAGCCUCCUAUUGGGUACAUUUUGUGUAAAGUAUGUGAUGACUAGUUUAUCUGAGCUCCUGAAGAAUAAACUGCGGAUAUCUGAUGCUUGCCACAAAAUGUGUGAAGUUUACCAAGUUUGAAUUCCCAUGAGACUAACAAUCAAUAAGCUUAAAAUGAAUUUUGUUAAAUCCAUUCAGGGGAAAGGGGGGGGGGGGGGGCUUCAAAAGUAAGCAUAACUUGCAUUUUUAUAAAUUCAGAAGCACUGCUAAUGAUUUUUUGUAUCAUUUUCCUGCUAAUGAAAUUAUAUGAAUUGAUUCUUGGUGCUCUGGUUUCAUACUGCUAUAUACAGACAGAUAUUUUUUUUUAAGUGAUUUCAAAUUUUAUAAAAUAGUGACCAUUUAUAUUGAAUGCACAGAAUAUGAUGAAAAUUUUACGACCUCUCCGAAAUAAAAUGAGGAGGAUUUUAUUCUGAAACUGUGCUUUGAAUAUAUAAAGGUAUCAUUCCAUAAAAUGAUUGUAAAGUGUAUCUAUUGUCUUAUAGAUAUGAGGUAACGAUGUAUUUAUCAAACUUCAUGUUUGCUUACAAGUAAUUUAACAAGAUAGCCCUGAACAAAUUUUUUUAAUUAAGUCAUGAAUAUUAUCCCUCCAGAAGAACUAUGCAACUUUAAAAGACAUAUACCAGUAUUUUUACUAUUGAUAGAUAACUUUGCAAUAAAUUAUGUAAAACUCUAUGGGUAGACUUUUGCAUCACAGGAUGAUUCAAAAAUUUUAUGUGAGCACAAAGAAUUUUUUUUAAACAAAAAAUAUAAAUGUAACGUUCACAUUUUAUU